rnacentral:rRNA from 1 species
GAUGAACGCUGGCGGCGUGCCUAAUACAUGCAAGUCGAGCGAACGGACGAGAAGCUUGCUUCUCUGAUGUUAGCGGCGGACGGGUGAGUAACACGUGGAUAACCUACCUAUAAGACUGGGAUAACUUCGGGAAACCGGAGCUAAUACCGGAUAAUAUUUUGAACCGCAUGGUUCAAAAGUGAAAGACGGUCUUGCUGUCACUUAUAGAUGGAUCCGCGCUGCAUUAGCUAGUUGGUAAGGUAACGGCUUACCAAGGCAACGAUGCAUAGCCGACCUGAGAGGGGGAUCGGCCACACUGGAACUGAGACACGGUCCAGACUCCUACGGGAGGCAGCAGUAGGGAAUCGUCCGCAAUGGGCGAAAGCCUGACGGAGCAACGCCGCGUGAGUGAUGAAGGUCUUCGGAUCGUAAAACUCUGUUAUUAGGGAAGAACAUAUGUGUAAGUAACUGUGCACAGCGUGACGGUACCUAAUCAGAAAGCCACGGCUAACUACGUG